AUUGAACGCUGGCGGCAUGCUUUACACAUGCAAGCCGAACGGUAACAGGUUAAGCUGACGAGUGGCGAACGGGUGAGUAAUGCAUCGGAACGUGCCCGACCGUGGGGGAUAACACUUCGAAAGAAGUGCUAAUACCGCAUACGAUCUGCGGAUGAAAGCGGGGGACCGUAAGGCCUCGCGCGAUCGGAGCGGCCGAUGUCAGAUUAGGUAGUUGGUGGGGUAAAGGCUCACCAAGCCAACGAUCUGUAGCUGGUCUGAGAGGACGACCAGCCACACUGGAACUGAGACACGGUCCAGACUCCUACGGGAGGCAGCAGUGGGGAAUUUUGGACAAUGGACGCAAGUCUGAUCCAGCCAUUCCGCGUGCAGGAUGAAGGCCCUCGGGUUGUAAACUGCUUUUGUACGGAACGAAAAGGUCUCUAUUAAUACUAGGGGCUCAUGACGGUACCGUAAGAAUAAGCACCGGCUAACUACGUGCCAGCAGCCGCCGUAA
rnacentral:rRNA from 1 species